AGCACCUGGAGGGAGGAAGAUGAAAAGAAAGCACUGGAUGAGCAUCAGAAGCCCAGGGAGCAGCGCACACUGAGGCUGUGAUGACAGGGAUGGGUCUGGGGCAGCCAGGGGCUUUCCAAAGCCUCUGUGACCUCAGUUUCCAACAUUCCAUCACUAAGUAUUACAAAAGGCAGACGGAGUCAUGACAGAUGUGAGAUAACAGCACUGGUUCCCAUGCCUCAGAGCACAGGGUGGUUAUGCAAGGGUCAAUCAGGAAUCACCGCUCCCACCCCAGCACACAGCAGCACUGCUGGUAGACCUACAGGAGCAAAGAAUGCACACUGGGAGAAGACUGGAGGCAGAGUGUGGGAGGACAUUGGCUCUGAUGCAAAGGAGACAGAGAGGAAGGGGUUUCCCUGCAUCCCACACCAGCAUCCCAGAGCAUCUCUGCUGUACAUGGCCUCCCCUGGAGCAGGACAACAGUCUGCAAAGUCUGUGACUGAGAGUUUACAAACACCACCUUCAUGUUUACAAAUCUCACCUCAGUGUUUACAAAUAUCACUGCGCUCCUUCACAGUUUGCAGACACCUACAACUAUCCCAAGUACUGGCUUUAAAGUCUCAAGAAAAAGGCACGUUAUGAAAGCAGA